rnacentral:tRNA from 2 species
GGGUCAGUGGCGGAAUAGGUUUACGCGCAACACUUAAAAUGUUGUCCGCGCAAGCGGAUGAGGGUUCGACUCCCUCCUGACCCA